UACGUAGGGGGCAAGCGUUGUCCGGAUUUAUUGGGCGUAAAGAGCGUGUAGGCGGCCAGAUAGGUCAGCUGUGAAAACUCGAGGCUCAACCUCGAGACGUCGGUUGAAACCAUCUGGCUAGAGUCCGGAAGAGGAGAGUGGAAUUCCCGGUGUAGCGGUGAAAUGCGCAGAUAUCGGGAAGAACACCCGUGGCGAAGGCAGCUCGCUGGGACGGUACUGACGCUGAGACGCGAAAGCGUGGGGAGCAAACAGG
rnacentral:rRNA from 1 species